rnacentral:misc_RNA from 1 species
GUUCAGUUCCAGUCAUUUUGAAAGAAGGAAUUCGAUGAGAGAACUUGAAAAGUUCACUUGGCUUUACAUAGAAUGUACCUACUCCAGUCAGCCUUGUUCGCUGGAAAAGGCUAACAAAUCUGGUCACUUUAUCCAAGUAACCAACUUGGACACCCUCAUCCACAACAUAUUCAGACAGGAUCUCCACAAUUUCAUACUUGUACUUCCUAUGAUUAUCUGGAUCAAAGCCCCAACCAAUAUCCCAAUCUUUGAAAAGGGCCCAUGUUUCCCCUUUCCUAGGAUAUACAAUGUACAUACCCCUCUUGACCAUUUCGCACUGCACUUGAUGAGAAAAUGUAAGUCGAUCAGAAGUGGAUUCAGUAGUCCCAAGUCUAAAUUUCCCACAGCCAACAGGCAACUCUGCGCUGACCCAAGUUUUGCCUUUUUGAUCUUCAGGGGAAGCCUCAAGCCAACAGAACAUCACCUUAAAUUCAGGACUGUGUACCUUCCUAAUGAGGGCAUAGAAUCUUGGCAUGCCAUCAGCUGUAUCAUAGCAAGCCCAGACCUGAUCAGGUGCAAAGCAACUUUGUUCUUUAAGCUUGUCAAAAUCACUAAAUUCAGGAUCAGGAUAAUCAUACACCUCUGGA